rnacentral:lncRNA from 1 species
UGGAACAGCAGGUGUCUAUGAUCUGCAGAGAAAAGAUGUGUUGCUAAGAAAGCCUGCCAUGCGCUCAAGCGUUCAGGUGUAUGCCAUGUAGGCUCGUUCUUCCAGGGUUGGGUCUGCUGUCACGCAGCCAAUGCAAGCAGCAGCUUUAUGGAGGGGGUUUCAGAAGAGCCGGGCUUGGUGGAGAUGGGCACUGUAAAAGUGAAUCCCCAAGAGCGAGCACUUCCUGAUGCACAUACAUUUCGAAUGACAGUCGUGUUGUGGAGAUGAGGAGGAUUGAGGCUUGGAGAAAAAUUGAUUUGUUGAAGUCCAUCCAAGUGAGCACGUGGCCUGACAGGAGCUGAUGAAGGAGCCUGACCUGAGUGCAGAGCGAAGAUACCAGUGGUGCCCAUUAGACAACGUCAGGAAACUUAGUGUGGAGGACCUGCUGGACACUGGCGCUGCUAGCAGAGAAAGGGAGCGAGGCAGGAUGGGCCAAUAGAAGCAGCAACAAGACUACAGGUCACAUCUACUGACUGUACGCCUGGUACCUGGUUUUUGGUCUGGAUCCCUCCAAUACGGCAUAAAGUCUACAAAAGCAAGUGCCUUGUCUGCUUAUUCACACUGAUUCCCUGGCACUGGAACAUUCUAUAGAGAUCCUGAAAAAGAGGAAACAGAGAAACAAACAAGCCAAAACGAUUGACAGAAGAAGCCUAGGGUGUGAUUAUUUACCUAUGCACGAUGGCAACAGAACUACUGAUUCAACCAGCAUAGUUCCUGGCCAGUGAGGACAUUGUCUGUAAAGUGCAGUUACAUGGGAACCUGCUCUGGAUUAAGGCCAUCUUUGUGUCUUGUGAAAAUGCUGCUGCUUUGGCUAGAGUCUCGACUCUUGGAGGAAGCUAAGCCUUUGGGAGCUCAACUGGUGAAAGCUACUUCCCUCCUUCUGAUUUGGGGCUGUAUUUUUCUUCUUACACAUGCAAAUAGGUGCUGAGAUUCAAUGUUAAUGUGCUCAUGGGGCAUUUGGGCAUUGUGUGUUAAAGCAUUUCUACAUGCGUCAACUUCUGGAGAUGAGAAUGGCAUCAAAUUUUAAACAAGCUACAAAGCUGGACCACAGUUGAAAGUGAAAAUCCUCUCCUAAGUACCAGUGACGAACAACUGAAUUCUUCUCUCUCCAUCUUGGAAUUGAUGUGCGCUUAGUGUGUUUUCAAAAGAAAAUAAAAGACUACUUUGGGAUCUGUUAAGAGUUUGAGGUCAGCAAACUGUUUCCUGUAAUUCAUAUGAUGCGAAGUUAUCUUAAAGUAGACUUGAUGAAAGCAACCCUGAGAGCCUGCCCAUACACAGGGCCCUGACGCUUGUCAUGCAAAGAUUUGUCACGGCUGCUGUUCCAUCUGAGAAAGAUGGACGUAUAGGAUUACGGACCAUGCAUCUAUCAAGAUCAAAAGUACUGUUUGGGAUUUAAGUUGCUACACUGAAGGAUUCACUGAUGCCAAGUAGAAUACCACCUAAAGUUCAUGAGGUGGUCCUUCAGCAGUACUAAAUGAAACAUUUAGGAAGGCCUCCCAAAUGACACUGCUCUACUCAGCAAAACGGCAUCUUGAUAUACUUAUUGUAGAAAUUCACAAGGCACUUCUAAUACAAAGACAGUCCACUAGAUGCAGUUUACAAAGUCAGAGAACAUGGGAAACGGUGCUGCAGAUCAGCUUACAUGGAGCACACUUGGAAGAAACUGACGCUGUUGGUGGUGGAGUAGAAAAACAAAAAGAAUGGAGGUCCUUGAUGGCACUGCCAACCAACCCUGAAGUCUGUCUAACCUCUGAACUACCAGGUCCCAUAGAAGAAAUGUGGGUCACUGGUGGGACCAUGGAGAGAAACCAGCUUCCUGAUGAAGAUUUUAAAAUAUUGUCACGAAUAUACAAGCAUUUAAAGUGAGCAGAGCUACUGAACAGAGAGGCUGCCUUAAGUUACACUGAAACAGAAGAGGAAGAUGUAUGAGUCAGUCUCAGAAGAGCUGUGGGGUCCAAACGGAUGAAAAGAGAGGAGGAAGAGCCAAAGG